UUUGAUGUGAGACUUCUCAACUCCUCAGGCCCUGUUAGUGAGAGGGCUGGAGGGGCACAAGGAACUGGGAGGGGACACAGCCAGGGCAGCUGACCCGAACUAGCCAAAGAGGUGUUCCAUACCAUGGGAUGCCAUACCUGAAAUUAUGGGAAUUUUUGAGAUUUGUGAAAAGCCUUGAUAGAUCUUUCCUAUGACAGAUCUACUGGAUGAAUGUGUCUGACAAGCCAACACUGCCCGUCUAUCCAAACUGAAGGUUUCUGCAUUCAGUGACUCCUUCCAAAACAGCAGAGGAAAGAGUCACCUAGAUGUCUGCACUCAAUCACUUCAGUUAACAAGAACGUUCAGGUUACCGCCUCCUGGUUCCUGAUCAUGAAAAAAAGCCUCAUUUUCUAGGAGCUAUAGAGGUAUGGACAAUUGCAUACAGACAGGGCCUGUCUGGAGAGACGGGUGCAGUGGUUGUAUGUUUGAUGAGAAGCUGUGAAGAAGGCCUUCUUCAUCAGGAGACAAAAGUGUUCAAUGGUUGUGGCUGGCCAGCAAGAUGCAGUGUGAAAAGCUCAGACUGCCAGCCCAGGUUUCUGGAUUUCCUUCACUCCUUCUGAGGACCUCUCGCCAACUAUGAAUUUUUGCUGUUCUUUUCUUUUCUAAAUGGAAAUUAAAGGGCACCUGAAGCCCAUUAAAAUUAGCUCUGACACUUCAAGUGGAAAUGCACCUAAGAUGACACAGUGAAGUGAUGUUGUUCUAAAGACAUUUCUUUGCAAUGAAAACUUUAAUUUUUCUCUGGGCCUGGCAAUAUCAGCUUGCCUAUAAAAAGUCAGUGAGGAGACCUUAACUGCCUGAGUUCAUAUUCAACGUUCAGGUAUAGCUGUGAGAAGCUGAUGAACAGAAAAAGAUCCAAAGAGUGCCAUUGCAGUGUAAAAAUAAUAAAAUUAUACUUGUUUAACAGCUGCUGCAAGUAAGAUUUCUGUUACUUUUCUUCUUAGGGAAGUAUAAAGUAAAAUAGUACAAGGGAGACAGUAUAAAACAAGAAUCCAGUGAAUGCUUCUGGUUUAAUUUUUGACCUGCGUUGGUUUUGCAACUUCUGUUGACUUUAAUAGAGACAUUUGAUGGUAACAUUUUCAAGGGCAUCUAAACAACUUAGACUUCUAAGUUCUCGGUUUAAAACUGUCUACAAUCCAUUAGGAUCAGAAGUUCCUUUGUAAGUCAAUCACACUUAAACCCCUAAGGUCUGACCCUAAAAAAGGGAUUUACGUGCCACAGUAAGAGCUGUAAUAUCAUUAUGUACUUGGGUACAUGGCCCUUGAGACUAUACAUGAACAAUGUGUUCAGAGAAGCGGCUCCUCCACCUGGCAUAGCUAAUCCUGGGGACAGCUCAGCAAUGUGUCUGUACGGCACCUUAUCCAGGCUACCAGGCUGUGGUUUGGAUUUGGUGUGAGGAAAAUGUUGUUAACACACAGAUGUUUGUAGUUGUUGCUGGGUAAUGUUUAUACUAAGUCAUGGGCUUUUCAGUUUCUCAGGCCCUGCUGGUAAGACGGCUGGAGGGGCACAAGAAAUUGUGAGGGGACACAGCCAGGACAGCUGACCUGAACUUAGCCAAAGGAAUAUCCCAUACCAUGGGAUGUCAUGCUUAGUAUAUAAGCUGGGGGUGGUUGGCCAGGGCCUGCCAAUUGCUGCUCGGGGACUAGUGGGACAUUGGUCAGCGGGCGGUGAGCAGCUGUGUUGUGCAUCACUUGUUUUCUUUCCUCCCUUCCCUUUGGAUUUCAGUCCUCUCCCCUUCUCCCUCCUUUUCUUUAUAUUUUUUACAAUUGGAAUUAUUAUUAUUGUUUUUAUUUUAUUUCAAUGAUUAAAUUGUUCUUAUCUGAGCCCUUGAGUUUUACAUUCCUUCCCAGUUCU